rnacentral:rRNA from 1 species
UACCAGCACCCCGAGUGGUCGGGACGUUUAUUGGGCCUAAAGCAUCCGUAGCCGGUUCUACGAGUCUUCCGUUAAAUCCACCUGCUUAACAGAUGGGCUGCGGAGGAUACUAUGGAGCUAGGAGGCGGGAGAGGCAAGCGGUACUUAGUGGGUAGGGGUAAAAUCCGUUGAUCCAUUGAAGACCACCAGUGGCGAAGGCGGCUUGCCAGAACGCACUCGACGGUGAGGGAUGAAAGCUGGGGGAGCAAACCGGG